rnacentral:rRNA from 1 species
UGUGAUAGAUUAUUCAAUUUAACUGUAUUAACAGUUAAUUAAUUUGUUACUUUUAUAUUAAGAGAAUUUAUUCUCGUAAACAAGUAUAAGAUCGAUUUUAUCGAGUAAAGUUCUAAAUGGUAAAAUUUUGAUUAUGACAUAAUUACCGUUUAUAUGUCUUGACCAAAUUACGUGCCAGCAGUCGCGGUAAUACGUAGAAGACUAGUGUUAUUCAUCUUUAAUAGGUUUAAAGGGUACCUAGACGGUAUGAUUAGUCUUAAACAAGAUACGAUUAUACUAGAGUUAUAUAUGAGGAGGGGAGUAUUUAUGGAGUAGAGUUGAAAUUCUUUGAUACCAUAACGACUGGUAACGGCGAAAGCAACCUUUUAUCUAAUAACUGACGUUGAGGGACGAAGGCUCGGGUCACGAACAGGAUUAGAUACCCUAGUAGUCCAAGCAGAGAAUUAUGAAUGCCAUAGAUUAGAUAUUUAUUUAGUCUAUAAAUGAAAGUGUAAGCAUUUCACCUCAAGAGUAAUGUGGCAACGCAGGAACUGAAAUCAUUAGACCGUUUCUGAAACCAGUAGUGAAGUAUGUUAUUUAAUUCGUAAGUACGCGAAAAACCUUACCACAACUUGAAUAUUAUCUUAAAGAUAUUACAAGCGUUGCACGGCUGUCUUCAGUUAAUGUCGUGAGAUAUUGGUUAAUUCCAUUNAAUUAACGGAAAACCCUUGCUUUAUUUGGCAAUUUUAUAAAUAAAGCAGUUCACCUAUACUUGGGAUAUGA